rnacentral:rRNA from 1 species
GCCUGACCAUAACCCAACAAUAAUAAAACUAAUGGUCGCCAAACAACUACGAGUGUAAACUUAAAACUUAAAAGACUUGACGGUACCUCACAACAACCUAGAGGAGCCUGUCUAAUAACCGAUACCCCACGAUUAACCCAACCCCUUCUAGCCUAACAGUCUAUAUACCGCCGUCGCCAGCCUACCUUAUNAAAGAAACAAAGUAGACUAAAUAGUAAAGCACAAAUACGACAGGUCGAGGUGUAACUUAUGAUGGGGCUAAGAUGGGCUACACUNUCUAACACAGAAAACACGAAUCAACCAUGAAACAGAAACUGAAGGUGGAUUUAGCAGUAAACUAAGAACAAAAUACUUAAUAGAAACCAAAGCAAUGAGGUGCGU